rnacentral:rRNA from 1 species
AGUGAACGCUGGCGGCGUGCUUCAGACAUGCAAGUCGUACGAGAAAGUGACUUCGGUCAUUAGUAAAGUGGCGCACGGGUGAGUAAUAUUUGGGUAACAUAUCUUCCCGCUGGGGAUAACUAGGCGAAAGCUUAGCUAAUACCGAAUACACCGUUUUUUACUUCGGUUUAAAACGGGAAAGCCGUAAGGCGCGGAAAGAGUGGCCCAAAUCCCAUUAGCUAGUUGGUGAGGUAAAGGCUCACCAAGGCAACGAUGGGUAGCUGGUCUGAGAGGAUGAUCAGCCACACUGGAACUGGAAUACGGUCCAGACUCCUACGGGGAGGCAGCAGUUAGGAAUUUUGCGCAAUGGGGGAAACCCUGACGCAGCAACGCCGCGUGAGUGAAGAAGGCCUUC